UGGCGGACGGGUGAGGAAUACAUCGGAAUCUACUCUGUCGUGGGGGAUAACGUAGGGAAACUUACGCUAAUACCGCAUACGACCUACGGGUGAAAGCAGGGGAUCUUCGGACCUUGCGCGAUUGAAUGAGCCGAUGUCGGAUUAGCUAGUUGGCGGGGUAAAGGCCCACCAAGGCGACGAUCCGUAGCUGGUCUGAGAGGAUGAUCAGCACACUGGAACUGAGACACGGUCCAGACUCCUACGGGAGGCAGCAGG
rnacentral:rRNA from 1 species